AAUUGGUUAUUCUUCAAACAGAUUAACUUCUGCCUCUAUACUCCUUCUACUAUGCAACCUUCAGAAUGAAGCUUCACAGUUGUGCUGAAAAAUCUGGCAGUUUAGUGUCAUUUACUUUCACAGAGGUACAAGACGUUCAAGGGAAGACUACUGGGCAUUAAAUGGACCACAUAUAUGAAGAUAUGAAUCCACUCCAAGGGAUGCUUUAGUAAAGAACCUA
rnacentral:lncRNA from 1 species